UAGGAAAAAAAAAAAAAAAAAAAAAAAAAGAGGGCGGGGUGGAGGUGCUGACGUACGUGCGCGCCUGCUACUUACUUUGGUUGUUCUUAUCUUCUUUUUUUCUUUUUUUUUUUAUAUUAUUGUUCUUUACUACUUUCUUCAAAAAAAAAAAAAAGGAAAGGAAGAAAGAGAACGAACAUAUGAAGAAGGAAACA
rnacentral:ribozyme from 1 species